AUUGAACGCUGGCGGCAUGCCUUACACAUGCAAGUCGAACGGUAACGCGGGGCAACCUGGCGACGAGUGGCGAACGGGUGAGUAACGCAUCGGAACGUGCCCAGUAGUGGGGGAUAGCCCGGCGAAAGCCGGAUUAAUACCGCAUACGACCUACGGGUGAAAGCGGGGGAUCGCAAGACCUCGCGCUAUUGGAGCGGCCGAUGUCAGAUUAGGUAGUUGGUGGGGUAAAGGCCUACCAAGCCGACGAUCUGUAGCUGGUCUGAGAGGACGACCGGCCACACUGGGACUGGGACACGGCCCAGACUCCUACGGGAGGCAGCAGUGGGGAAUUUUGGACAAUGGGCGCAAGCCUGAUCCAGCCAUGCCGCGUGCGGGAUGAAGGCCUUCGGGUUGUAAACCACUUUUGUCAGGGAAGAAACGCUCUGGGCUAAUACCCCGGGGUAAUGACGGUACCUGAAGAAUAAGCACCGGCUAACUACGUGCCAGCCGCCGCCGUAAAAC
rnacentral:rRNA from 1 species